AGGUGCGAUCAUACCAACAUUAAUGCACCAGAUCCCAUCAGAACUCCGUAGUUAAGCGCACUUGGGCUAGAGUAGUACUAGGAUGGGUGACCUCUCGAGAAGUCCUAGUGUUGCACCCU
rnacentral:rRNA from 1 species